AGCAGUCGCCACGGUAAUACGUAGGUGGCAAGCGUUAUCCGGAAUUAUUGGGCGUAAAGCGCGCGCAGGCGGUUUCUUAAGUCUGAUGUGAAAGCCCACGGCUCAACCGUGGAGGGUCAUUGGAAACUGGGGAACUUGAGUGCAGAAGAGAAAAGCGGAAUUCCACGUGUAGCGGUGAAAUGCGUAGAGAUGUGGAGGAACACCAGUGGCGAAGGCGGCUUUUUGGUCUGUAACUGACGCUGAGGCGCGAAAGCGUGGGGAGCAAACAGGAUUAGAUACCCGCGUAGUCCCUGUCUCUUAUAC
rnacentral:rRNA from 1 species